rnacentral:lncRNA from 1 species
AAAACAUUUGCCUGACUUGAAAAAGCAAAGACAAAAGAAGAGCACUCUGCUUUUGUUCCUGCGAUUUGCUGAGGUGACAGACGUCAUUUUUGCACGAUGAGUACUGGGUCCUACUGCUGCAGCUGAACACACCAGGAGGGGAAGCUGGGAUGAGACUCAUGCUGGAUCAAGCAAAGCAGCGCCUGUGUUUUCUGGAUACAUCUAUAGUGUGAUUUGGCUGUCCUGCCUGCUUGGAUGCCUGAGCUGCAGGGAAUGACAUCUGAUGUGUGGAAGGAGGAUCCACUCUGUGAUUUUCCCAAGCACAGAUGUGAGGCUCACCAGCCUGCAGUUCCCUGAGACUUCCUCUCUCCCCUUCUUGAAUAUGGUGUUUCCAUUUUUCCAGUCACUGAGAACUUUGUCUGACAGCCACAGUUUUUCAGAUGUGAUGGAGAGCAGCUUGGCAACCACAUCAGACAGUUUCUUCAGGACUGAGAUGGAUCUCAUCUGGCCCUAUGGACUUCUACACAUUCAGCCUCAUGAGGUGGUCUCGGACUUGCUCCGCUCUUAGACUGGGAGGGAUUUUGUUCCCCUCACCUCCACCUAGAAGUUCAGGGACACCAGAGGUAUGCGAAUCCUGAGUGAUUGUGAAGAACAAGGAAAAGAACUCAUUAAGCACCUCAGCCUUCUCCAUGUUUGAGGGGCAAGGGUAGAGGCCUCCUGGUUGCACCUUGUGCAAUUGAGUCUGAUCUCUGGGAGAAGGCACUCUCCUUCCACUGUCUCUUUUACUCCAAGAGGGAGAGAUGGAAUCGUGUCAUGGAAUGUUGCCUCUGUCACAGAAAGAUGUGCCAAAGCCUCUGGAGGCUGAGGAACCAUUGUUCUGUUUAGCAUCUUCUAGGCACAGCAGUGAAUGGACAUCGAUAUGUUGCCGAUACAAUUUCACAUUGC